rnacentral:rRNA from 1 species
ACUCCUACGGGAGGCAGCAGUGGGGAAUUUUGGACAAUGGGCGCAAGCCUGAUCCAGCAAUGCCGCGUGAGUGAAGAAGGCCUUCGGGUUGUAAAGCUCUUUUGUCAGGGAAGAAACGGCGGAGACGAAUACUUUCUGCUAAUGACGGUACCUGAAGAAUAAGCACCGGCUAACUACGUGCCAGCAGCCGCGGUAAUACGUAGGGUGCAAGCGUUAAUCGGAAUUACUGGGCGUAAAGCGUGCGCAGGCGGUUGUGCAAGACCGAUGUGAAAUCCCCGGGCUUAACCUGGGAAUGGCAUUGGUGACUGCACGGCUAGAGUGUGUCAGAGGGGGGUAGAAUUCCACGUGUAGCAGUGAAAUGCGUAGAGAUGUGGAGGAAUACCGAUGGCGAAGGCAGCCCCCUGGGAUAACACUGACGCUCAUGCACGAAAGCGUGGGGAGCAAACAGGAUUAGAUACCCUGGUAGUCCACGCCCUAAACGAUGUCAACUAGUUGUCGGGUCUUAAUUGACUUGGUAACGCAGCUAACGCGUGAAGUUGACCGCCUGGGGAGUACGGUCGCAAGAUUAAAACUCAAAGGAAUUGACGGGGACCCGCACAAGCGGUGGAUGAUGUGGAUUAAUUCGAUGCAACGCGAAAAACCUUACCUACCCUUGACAUGGCAGGAAUCCCCAAGAGAUUGGGGAGUGCCCGAAAGGGAACCUGCACACAGGUGCUGCAUGGCUGUCGUCAGCUCGUGUCGUGAGAUGUUGGGUUAAGUCCCGCAACGAGCGCAACCCUUGUCAUUAGUUGCUACGAAAGGGCACUCUAAUGAGACUGCCGGUGACAAACCGGAGGAGGGUGGGGAUGACGUCAAGUCCUCAUGGCCCUUAUGGGUAGGGCUUCACACGUCAUACAAUGGUACAUACAGAGGGCCGCCAACCCGCGAGGGGGAGCUAAUCCCAGAAAGUGUAUCGUAGUCCGGAUUGCAGUCUGCAACUCGACUGCAUGAAGUUGGAAUCGCUAGUAA